UACAGAGGGUGCGAGCGUUGUUCGGAAUCACUGGGCGUAAAGCGCCCGUAGGCGGAUCUUUAAGUCAGGGGUGAAAUCCCGAGGCUCAACCUCGGAACUGCCUUUGAUACUGGGGAUCUCGAGUCCGGGAGAGGUGAGUGGAACUGCGAGUGUAGAGGUGAAAUUCGUAGAUAUUCGCAGGAACACCAGUGGCGAAGGCGGCUCACUGGCCCGGAACUGACGCUGAGGUGCGAAAGCGUGGGGAGCAAACAGG
rnacentral:rRNA from 1 species